rnacentral:rRNA from 1 species
UCCUACGGGAGGCAGCAGUAAGGAAUAUUGGUCAAUGGGCGGAAGCCUGAACCAGCCAUGCCGCGUGCAGGAUGACUGCGCUAUGGGUUGUAAACUGCUUUUGUCCAGGAAUAAACCUAAAUACGUGUAUUUAGCUGAAUGUACUGGAAGAAUUAGGAUCGGCUAACUCCGUGCCAGCAGCCGCGGUAAUACGGAGAUCCGAGCGUUAUCCGGAUUUA